AACUGAUUCCUGUUCCUUAAUGUUGAAUCUGGUAAAUUUGCUGCUUAUAAGGAGUAAAACAAAUCCUCUGCCUCUAGUACAAUCAGAAGAAGAAUAAUUAUCCCAUAGUACCACAUUGAAUUGCAGCUUCAACUUCUUCUUCCAGCUCGUG